CGUUUUCCCGACGAUCAGCGCCGGCUUCGACAGGGCCCCCAGAGUUGAAAAAAUGCUCAACUUUGGGCAGAACACUGCGCCUGGAGCAGGCGUUUUCAGCCGAGCUCCUGACGUUUUCAGCCGCGUAAAUGUGCCUCGGUGGACACAGCCCCUAAGCGUCCUGAAACAUUCAUAAUGUUCGUUACACUCAUCCUCAAAGCCAAGGGGCGAUGUCGGGUUGUGAUCAACAGUAGAAGAAGCCACACCUCACCUCACCUCACCGCCAUUUUGGCUUUCCACAACCAGAUCAAAACAGCUGUCAGUCUGAUUCCUGUUUGGUGUAUGAUUAUCAAAGCUGGAUUCCCCUGCAGUGCUUCAAAGCUUUAACCGUCUUAAGACACACAUGACGGCUUUACAUCUACAAGCUUCAGUCAAGGGAAGUGAGAUACACACAGGACAUCUGACGGCACAUCUGCCCCUCAGCGCAGCUGUUUCAGAGAUUUUGUUCGGUAAAACCUUUUCUGAGGUUUGCUGUGCCAUCCCCUGGAGGCCAAGUGUUACCCAGGAGACUCGGUUGGAUGGGAACAGUGACAGAACAGAUUUAUGGGGGCAGAACACAGCAUCAUGGGCCACUGACUGAGUGGGCAUGAAGACCAGCAGAACUGAAGUUGCGAAUGUUGGUUCGUCCUCUCUGUGGGUCAACAAAAGAGAAGGCAGCCAGCACCAGCAGACCUGAACUUCUGCAAACCUGCAGAUAAUGACAGGUUUAUUCACAUGCCAGAAGACAAAGUGAGAAAGAGUACAGGUGUGAUGGUUGGGUUGAUGAGAAAGGUUGAGGAAAGAACAGAAAAUAGAAAGGCAGGUGAGAAAGUCAAGCAAAUGUUACUCCUCCCCACAUAAUGAAGAAUUCUGCAUGAACGUCCAGACCAUAUCCAUGCUAUAGAAUUUGAAAUCUCUUAAAGGUCCGGUGUUUUUUGGGGGAUCUAUUGACAGUAAAGCAAUAUUGAUAAUUAUGUUUUCAGACAUAUAUGGCAUGAAAUUCCACAUAACAUUAAUGUUUUUAAAUAUACUUUUAAACAACAGAUUUAUUUAACAACAACUUUUAUGAAUGAAAGGAAACAUUCUGAUAUUGGUACUGCAACUGAUCCAUUAAAUUGAUCAUUCUGUCUUUACUUUAACAUUAAUUAAUACCUGUUCAAUAUUGACGUACAGUAUUAUUGAGAGCUAUCAUGUCUAACAGGUAGGAAAUAUACAGAAAGUUCUCUGAAUCUGUACAGUCUUUAAUGCUAAAUUCUAAAUUAAAUACAGAAUUAAAGC